CAGGGUGACAGGUGGUGCAUGGUUGUCGUCAGCUCGUGUCGUGAGAUGUUGGGUUAAGUCCCGCAACGAGCGCAACCCUCGACCUUAGUUGCCGGCAUUCAGUUGGGCACUCUAAGGUGACUGCCGGCUAAAAGUCGGAGGAAGGUGGGAUGACGUCAAAUCAUCAUGCCCCUUAUGACCUGGGCUACACACGUGCUACAAUGGGCGGUACAAAGGGUCGCGAACCCGCGAGGGGGAGCCAAUCCCAAAAAGCCGCUCUCAGUUCGGAUUGCAGGCUGCAACUCGCCUGCAUGAAGCCGGAAUUGCUAGUAAUCGCGGAUCAGCAUGCCCGCGGUCGAAUACGUCCCGGGCCUU
rnacentral:rRNA from 1 species